rnacentral:rRNA from 1 species
CCUACGGGUGGCAGCAGUAGGGAAUAUUGCUCAAUGGGGGAAACCCUGAAGCAGCAACGCCGCGUGGAGGAUGAAGGUUUUAGGAUUGUAAACUCCUUUUGUUAGAGAAGAUUAUGACGGUAUUUAACGAAUAAUCACCGGCUAACUCCGUGCCAGCCGCCGCGGGAAUACGGCGGGUGCAAGCGUUAAUCGGAAUCACUGGGCGUAAAGAGUGCGUAGGCGGGGUAAUAAGUCCGGUGUGAAAACCUGUAGCUUAACUACAGAACUGCAUUUGAAACUGUUACGCUGGAGUGUGAGAGAGGUAGGUGGAAUGCGUGGUGUAGGGGUGAAAUGCGUAGAGAUCGAGAGGAAUACUGAUUGCGAAGGCGACGUACUGGAACAAUACUGACGCUGAUGCACGAAAGCGUGGGGAGCGAACAGGAUUAGAUACCCGAGUAGUC